AACGAACGCUGGCGGCAGGCUUAACACAUGCAAGUCGAGGGAGAAGCUCUUCGGAGUGGAGACCGGCGCACGGGUGAGUAACGCGUAGCAACCUACCUUAAAGUGGGGAAUAACCAUUAGAAAUGAUGGCUAAUGCCCCAUAUGCCCUACGGGGGAAAGAUUUAUCGCUUUAAGAUGGGGCUGCGUUAGAUUAGCUAGUUGGUAAGGUAAUGGCUUACCAAGGCGACGAUCUAUAGCUGGUCUGAGAGGAUGAUCAGCCACACUGGAACUGAGACACGGUCCAGACUCCUACGGGAGGCAGCAGUGGGGAAUAUUGGACAAUGGGCGCAAGCCUGAUCCAGCCAUGCCGCGUGAGUGAUGAAGGCCUUCGGGUUGUAAAACUCUUUCGCUAGUGAUGAUAAUGACAGUAGCUAGAGAAGAAGCACCGGCUAAAUCCG
rnacentral:rRNA from 1 species